rnacentral:rRNA from 1 species
AUGGACGCUUCUCCCACCGCCGCUGCCCGCCGCGCGGCGGCGAUCGCCCGCCACCUCGCUGGCCUCCCCUCCGGUGCCGCCGCCGCCGUGGCGGGGCUGCAGUUUUCCCCGUGCCUGAGCUACGCGCCCCCGGAAUCGUCCGAGGCCCCGCCGGCGUUCGCGCCGAUGGAGCUUCGUGCGCUCCUCGACGGGCACCACCUGCGGGAGCGCGACUGGGCGUACGGCGCGAUGGAGGAGAGCCCGCUCUUCUGCCCCCGCCGUGCCGGCGGCAAGGUGUUCGUGUCGCCGGACUACAACGAGGGGAAGGAAGGGCAGAGGGAGGCCACCAUGCGCCGGAUCGGGUACCUCACGCGCCGGGGUGUGUUCCGUGGCUGGCUCACGGAGCCAGGGCCCGACGCCGAGCUUCGCAAGCUCGCGCUGCUCGAGUGCCUCGGCGUCUACGACCACUCCCUCGCCAUCAAGGUCGGCGUCCAUUUCUUCCUCUGGGGAGGCGCUGUCAAGUUUCUUGGAACGAAGCGCCAUCACGACAAAUGGUUGUUGGACACAGAAAACUAUGUUAUCAAAGGUUGUUUUGCAAUGACAGAAUUGGGUCAUGGGAGCAAUGUACGAGGAAUUGAGACAGUAGCAACUUAUGAUUCCAAAACAGGAGAGUUUGUGAUAAAUACUCCCUGCGAGUCAGCUCAGAAGUACUGGAUUGGUGGAGCUGCUAAUCAUGCUACACAUACAAUAGUCUUUGCUCAGCUCCAUAUAAAUGGAAGAAAUGAAGGAGUCCACGCUUUCAUAGCUCAGAUCAGGGAUCAAGAUGAAAAUGUGUUGCCUAAUAUCCAUAUAGCUGACUGUGGCCAUAAGAUUGGACUAAAUGGUGUUGAUAAUGGUCGGAUUUGGUUUAACAAUAUACGUGUUCCUCGAGAGAAUUUGCUGAAUCUGGUUGCUGAUGUUUUGCCAGAUGGGAAAUAUGUUAGCAUGAUAGAUAACCCAGAUCAGAGGUUUGCAGCAUUUUUGUCCCCUCUUACUCUUGGCCGGGUAAAUAUUGCAGUUAACGCGGUUUAUAUUUCAAAGGUAGGCCUAGCAAUUGCUGUGAGAUAUGCUUUGUCAAGGAGGGCCUUUUCAAUUACACCAGAUGGUCCUGAAAUGCUGUUACUUGAUUAUCCCAGUCACCAGAGGCGCCUCCUACCUUUGCUUGCAAAAGUAUGUAUGAUGAGCAGUGCUAGUAAUUUUAUGAAAAAUAUGUAUGUGAAAAGAACACCUGAAAUUAGUAAAGCGAUACAUGUUUACUCUAGUGCUCUGAAGGCUACAUUAACCUGGCAGAAUAUGACCACGCUUCAGGAGUGUCGUGAGGCCUGUGGUGGCCAAGGUUUAAAGACCGAGAAUCGCGUUGGAAUUUUCAAAGCCGAAUUUGAUGUUCAGUCUACAUUUGAGGGUGACAAUAAUGUUCUACUCCAGCAGGUAAGCAAAGCCCUAUACGCUGAAUUUUUAACGACGCAAAGGAAGAAGAAGUCAUUCAAGGGAUUGGGAUUGGAACAUCUGAAUGGUCCUUGCCCUGUUAUUCCCCAUAGUCUGACAAGUGACAUAUUAAGGAGCUCCAAGUUCCAGAUGGAUUUGUUCUGCUUGAGGGAGCGGGAUUUACUGAAACAGUUCGCAGAGGAGGUAGCUCGCCAUCUGGCACAAGGGGAAAGCAGAGAAAAGGCUCUGAUGCUGAGCUACCAAAUUGCUGAAGACUUAGCUAGAGCAUUUACUGAGCGCACAAUUUUGCAAAUAUUUUUGGAGGACGAGAUGAAUGCUCCUGCUGGGUCUUUAAAGGAUGUAUUGGGGUUACUGAGGUCUAUGUAUGUUAUGGUGUGCAUAGAUGAAUCUGCAUCUUUUCUGAGAUAUGGUUAUUUGUCGCGGAACAAUGUAACCACCGUGAGGAAAGAAGUCAUGAUACUGUGCAGUGAACUCAGGCCCCAUGCGCUUGCUAUUGUUGGUUCUUUCGGAAUCCCUGAUGCCUUCCUCAGUCCACUUGCUUUCGACUGGAUCGAAGCAAAUGCUCGAUCUUCCGGGAGAGAAUGA